rnacentral:rRNA from 1 species
AUUGAACGCUGGCGGCAUGCUUUACACAUGCAAGUCGAACGGUAACAGGUUAAGCUGACGAGUGGCGAACGGGUGGGUAAUGCAUCGGAACGUGCCCGAUCGUGGGGGAUAACGCAGCGAAAGCUGCGCUAAUACCGCAUACGAUCUGAGGAUGAAAGCGGGGGACCGUAAGGUCUCGCGCGAUCGGAGCGGCCGAUGUCAGAUUAGGUAGUUGGUGGGGUAAAGGCCCACCAAGCCGACGAUCUGUAGCUGGUCUGAGAGGACGACCAGCCACACUGGGACUGAGACACGGCCCAGACUCCUACGGGAGGCAGAAGUGGGGAAUUUUGGACAAUGGGCGAAAGCCUGAUCCAGCAAUGCCGCGUGCAGGAAGAAGGCCUUCGGGUUGUAAACUGCUUUUGUACGGAGCGAAAAGGUCCUUUCUAAUACAAGGGGCUCAUGACGGUACCGUAAGAAUAGGCACCGGCUAACUACGUGCCAGCCGCCGCGGUAA